GAGAAGCAAGAGACACGCUUCAUCAGUCGACGCGAGCACUUGGCUCGCACACUCAGGUCAGGUGUGCAUCGUCGUGUGUUUAUCGCGUAGCCUGUAGCGCAGUGCAAAACCCGAUUCGUAAUUUAUUUGUGAGACCGCCGUGAAUGAAACUACUUGUACGGCCUUGACAAUCAACGAGCGAAACGGCUUUGUGAUUUUGUCGCAUUGCACCGGCGCCGACCUCGCGUGUUCGCGAGGAGUGAAGGAAUCGACAAGUUGCGGAAAGAAUCGCGAGAAAGAUGUACGUGAACAACGAAUCAGCUGCGUAUCUGCGAUGUCUCAGCGUGAAAAUAUCUAUUUUCGCGAUCAUCUGCAUAUUAGGCACGUUCAUCUUGGGACAAGUCAAAACUCAGGAUUUCCACGACGACAUAAUCUAUCCUGGAUCGGAUAACUCGAGAGUGCGGAACAAUCCUACGGUGCAGUCCGCGGAAGACGGCGAUACGCAGAUUCCAGUGGAUCUAGCCAAUAGAUUAAAUGCGAUGGAAUCAUCGGACGAAUUUCUGCAGCUCCUUCAAGGUGUUCCACAUGCCGACACGUCGUCGUUCAUGUUAAAUAGUAGAUUCGGCGGAGAUGAAAGAACGAGCGCGAUUGUACCUACGCCGGCCAAUUGCAUACCCGAGCUACAGCCCGUUUCUCUAAAAUUGGAUGAUGAUCCUUCGACCAUGAUCUUCCCAUCUUGUACACGGAUCCCAAGAUGCGGCGGCUGUUGCAGUACCUCUCUGCUCUCGUGCCAACCAACAGCCACGGAAAUCCGCAACUUCAUGGUGAUUGUGGCGUCGGUGAAGGAACUGGGUUACAAAGGCCGGCAGAUCGUACCGCUGGAGGAGCACAUUAAGUGCAAGUGCGACUGCAAAAUUAAGGCGAAGGAUUGUACCGAAAAGCAGCAUUACGAACCGCAUAACUGUCGGUGUGCCUGCAGCAACGUCGACGAGGAGCAAAAGUGCCGGAAGGAGAGUGAUAUAAAGAUCUGGAACGGGGACCUCUGCUCUUGCUCCUGCAGGACCAUCGAGGAGUGCAGCACCGGAUACUUCUUCAACCACAACACGUGCAGGUGUGAGCUGAGAGAUUAAGGGGAUCUACUAAAGGAAUAAAACGCCUUCCUUCUCACUGCACUCUACUUUAUCACGACUUAUGUGGACCGAUAAACAGGCCGGUAAACAGAUUCGUACCCACGAAAGGUUCAAAUUACAAUUUCGGUAAUCGUCAGCCGGAAAACGUGCCACCCGUGAUAAUCCCGUUGGACCCGUCGGAUCCCAGGAG
rnacentral:misc_RNA from 1 species